rnacentral:rRNA from 1 species
AGAGUUUGAUAGUGCUCAGAUUGAACGCUGGCGGCAGGCUUAACACAUGCAAGUCGAGCGGUAACAGCGGGGAGUUGCCUCCCCGCUGACGAGCGGCGGACGCGAGUGUAUAAUACAUAGGAAUCUGCCGCCAGUAGUGGGCGGAUAGCGCCCGUGGGAAACCGGAUUAAUACGCGAUAACGCCCUUUGGGGAAAGCAGGGAUCUUCGCCCGACCUUGCGGCUAUAUGAUGAGCCUCAUGUCGGAUUGAGUAGUUUGGUGCGGGUAAAGUCCUACCAAGCGCGGACGAUCCGUAGCUGGUCUGAGAGGCAUGAUUGCCAGCCAGCAUCGGGCUGAGACACGGCACGAACUCGCCUACGGGGAGGCAGGGCCAGAUGGGGAAUAUUGGACCAAUGCGGGCAAACCCUGAAUCCAAGCCAUAUGCCGCGUGUGCUUGAAGAGGCCUUUCGGGUUUGUAAAGCACUUUCAGUGAGGACGGAAAACACUUACGACUAUACUCAGUGAGGCUUGACGUUAACUCACAGAAGACACGCACCGGCUAACCCCUGCCUCCGUGCCAGCAGACCGCGGUAAUCGCGAGGCUGCAAGCGUUAAUCGCGAAUUACUGGGCGUAUAAGCGCGCGUAGGUGGUUUGAUAGCGAAUUGAAAGCCGCCGCGCGCUCAACCUUCCGGGAACGGCCAAUGUUCGCAAACUGUCAGGCUAGAGUUAUGGGUAGGAGCUGUGGAAUUUCCAUGUGCUAGCGGAGCCAGACGUAAGAUAUCAGGAAGGAACACCAGUGCGAAGGCGGCACUCUGCGACACAAAUACUGACACUGAGCGCUGGCGAAAGGCGUGCGCAGCAAACAGGAUUCAGAUACCCUGCGUAGUCCACGACUGUAAACGAUGUCUACUAGCCGUGCGGACCUUUAAGUCUUCAGUGGUCGCAGCUAACGCGACUAAGUUAAGACCGCCUGGGGCAGUACGCCGCCAAGCGUUAAAACCAAUAGAAUUGACGCGGGGCGCCCUCACAAGCGGUGGAGCAGUGUGUCUUAAUUCGAGCGCAACGCGAAGAACCUUACCAUGGCGCCUUUGACAUGCAGAAACUUUCCAGAGAUGGAUUUUGGAUGCCGUUGCGGAACUCUGGACACACAAGGUGCUGCCAUGGCCGUGUGUCAGCCUCGUGUCGUGAGAUGUUGCACGUGUAAGUCGCCGAUAACGAGCGCAACCCCGUAUCCCUAGUUUGCUAGGCAGUUCGCUGCUGAGAACUCUAGGAGACUGCCGGUGACAAACCGCGAGGAAGGUGGGAUGACGUCAGGUCAUUCAUGCCCUUACGGCCAGGGCUACACACGUGCUACAUGCGCGCCACAGAGGGCUGCAAACCGCGAGGGGAGCCAAUCUCACACAAAACGCGUCGUAGUCCGGAUCGCGAUGCUGCAAACUCGACUCCGUGAAGUCGGAAUCGCUAGUAAUCGUGAAUCAGAAUGUCACUGUGAAUACGUUCCCGCGGCCUUGUACACACGCCCGUCACACCAUGUAUGGAUUGGCCACAGAAGUGGUUAGUCUACCUUCGGGAGGACGAUCACCACGGUUGUGGUUCAUGACUGGGUGAAGUCGUAACAAGGUAGCCGUAGGGGAACCUGCGCUGG